GAUGAACGCUAGCGGGAGGCCUAACACAUGCAAGCCGAGCGGUAUAGAAUCUUCGGAUUUUAGAGAGCGGCGUACGGUGCGGAACACGUGUGCAACCUACCUUUAUCUGGAGGAUAGCCUUUCGAAAGGAAGAUUAAUACUCCAUAAUAUAUUGAUUGGCAUCAAUUAAUAUUGAAAGCUCUGGCGGAUAGAGAUGGGCACGCGCAAGAUUAGUAGUUGGUGAGGUAACGGCUCACCAAGACGAUGAUCUUUAGGGGCCUGAGAGGGUGAUCCCCACACUGGUACUGAGACACGGACCAGACUCCUACGGGAGGCAGCAGUGAGGAAUAUUGGACAAUGGGUGCAAGCCUGAUCCAGCCAUCCCGCGUGAAGGACGACUGCCCUAUGGGUUGUAAACUUCUUUUGUAUAGGGAUAAACCUCUCCUCGUGAGAGAGCUGAAGGUACUAUACGAAUAAGCACCGGCUAAACUCCGUGCCAGC
rnacentral:rRNA from 1 species